GGUGAACUAAAUGAGAUGGUAGCUGAUAUUAAGAUGUCUAGAAGUACCAUGCUUAGUGCUUCAAAUUUUGAAAGCACAGAGUCUAUUUCUCCUGGUGACAUCUUCUUUUCUCGCGAGAAUACAGCCUUGAUGAGGCAGAAGAAUGGCUUGCCAAAAAAUGGUAAUAAUGGAGCUAUUCUGAUCCCAAGGCCCACAAAGUUUCCCCAGAUGGAUCCCGCACUUCAACAGCUGAG
rnacentral:misc_RNA from 1 species